CAUUUGUAUAUAACUUCUAAGAGAGAAUUGUUGUUCAUUUUUCAAGUUUUUUCUUAAUUUGUUGGUAUGGCAGAAGCUGCACAAGUUAUAUCAAUUUUCAUAUACCCACUCAAAUCAUGCCGUGGUAUUUCAGUUUCUGAAGCACCCCUUUCUUCUACUGGAUUUCGAUGGGAUCGGCAAUGGGUUAUUGUGAACUCCAAAGGCAGAGCAUGUACUCAAAGAGUAGAGCCAUCGCUAGCUCUAGUUGAGGUUGAACUACCAAAUGAGGCAUUAUCUGAGGGCUGGGAACCAAAUCCAAGCUCAUUUUUAGUGAUAAGAGCCCCUGGUAUGGAUGUGCUUAAAGUCCCACUGGUUGAACCAUCUGAAGUAGCAAAUAGUGUCUCAGUGUGGGAAUGGUCUGGCUCUGCUUUGGAUGAAGGAGAUGAAGCAUCAAAGUGGUUCUCCAAAUAUCUAGGGAAACCUAGUCGUCUCGUACGUUUCAAUGAAGCAUCACAGUCUAGACCAACCGACCCUUAUUAUGCUCCUGGGUACAAAAUAAAAUUUAAUGAUGCAUAUCCCUUCCUCCUUAUAUCCCAGAAGUCACUGGAUGUAUUAAAUGAACAACUCAAGGAACCUGUGUCAAUUAACCGCUUCAGACCGAAUAUCCUCAUUGACGGAUCCGAUCCAUUUUGUGAAGAUUUAUGGAAGGAUAUCAAAAUAGGUGAAAACACAUUCCAUAGCACAGAGCUAUGCUAUCGUUGCAAGGUACCGGCAAUCAAUCAAGAAACUGCAGAAGCAGGUUCCGAGCCAAGUGAAACACUCAUGAAGUUCCGCUCAGAUAAAGUCCUAAAGACAAAUAAGAAACCGCAAGGACGAAUUUACUUUGGUCAGAAUUUAGUGUGGGAGGAUUCCGUUGCACAAGAGAAGAGAAAGACCAUCAAAGUGGGUGAUCCUGUUUAUGUCCUCAAGAUGGUUUCGUCCUACGAUGAUGUAUCUGUGUGAGACUAUGUACGUACGUACUUUAUCUGUCAGGAUCUAAAUAUGGCUCUCCCUAAUAUUGAGCAAUUUAUUGUUUGGAUUCACAUGACCACGAAAAGAUACAAGUGUUAGAGAUCCUCAACAGGCGCAUCGUUGAAGAUCAUUUCUUUUCAGCUAUUUGGUGAGUCCUUCUUGUAUUCGAAGGAACUCCUUAUCCUUUUAUUAUUGUUGAGUGUGAUGUUUCUUUUGAGGUAGCCAUGGACAUGUCAUUGGCACCAUCUAAGAGUAUUAGAGGCUUCAUAGACAGAGUCUGAUGAUGUAAUCGGAGUAGUUCUCCUUAGAAACUACUUCUUAUAAAAGUUAUCUAUUUUUCCUUUGAUUAUGACUAGACCACAUUAGUAUUCUUAAGUCUUCCGCUGAUGAAUAAAUAAGAAAUGAGACCAAGUGGUUCUCUCAGAAGCCAAAAA